rnacentral:rRNA from 1 species
AUGACAGCCGCCGUCCUGGCACGCCCGACGCCGGGCAACGUCCAGUGCUUCGGCAGGAAGAAGACCGCCGUUGCCGUGGCCCACUGCAAGCCCGGCCGCGGCCUCAUCAAGGCCCUGGAGCCGAUCCUGCUCGCCGGGAAGUCCCGCUUCAAGGGCAUCGACAUGAGGAUCUGCGUCAGCGGCGGCGGCAAGGUGAGCCAGGUCUACUCGAUCCGCCAGGCCAUCGCCAGGGCGCUCGUCGCCUACAACCAGAAGUACGUCGACGAGGCGGCCAAGAAGGAGGUCAAGGAGAUCCUCGGCCGCUACGACCGCACGCUGCUCGUCGCCGACCCGCGCUGCUGCGAGCCCAAGAAGUUCGGCGGCCGCGGCGCCCGCGCACGCUUCCAGAAGUCGUACCGUUGA